rnacentral:rRNA from 1 species
UACGGAGGGUGCAAGCGUUAUCCGGAAUCACUGGGUUUAAAGGGUGCGUAGGCGGCCUGAUAAGUCAGAGGUGAAAGGCUACAGCUUAACUGUGGAAUUGCCUUUGAUACUGUGAGGCUUGAAUAAGGAUGAGGUUGGCGGAAUGUGGCAUGUAGCGGUGAAAUGCAUAGAUAUGCCAUAGAACACCAAUUGCGAAGGCAGCUAACUGGGCCUUUAUUGACGCUGAGGCACGAAAGCGUGGGGAUCAAACAGG